rnacentral:rRNA from 1 species
GAUGAACGCUGGCGGCGUGCCUAAUACAUGCAAGUCGAGCGAACAGAUGAGGAGCUUGCUCCUCUGACGUUAGCGGCGGACGGGUGAGUAACACGUGGAUAACCUACCUAUAAGACUGGGAUAACUUCGGGAAACCGGAGCUAAUACCGGAUAAUAUAUUGAACCGCAUGGUUCAAUAGUGAAAGACGGUUUUGCUGUCACUUAUAGAUGGAUCCGCGCCGCAUUAGCUAGUGGGUAAGGUAACGGCUUACCAAGGCAACGAUGCGUAGCCGACCUGAGAGGGUGAUCGGCCACACUGGAACUGAGACACGGUCCAGACUCCUACGGGGGGCAGCAGUAGGGAAUCUUCCGCAAUGGGCGAAAGCCUGACGGAGCAACGCCGCGUGAGUGAUGAAGGUCUUCGGAUCGUAAAACUCUGUUAUUAGGGAAGAACAAAUGUGUAAGUAACUAUGCACGUCUUGACGGUACCUAAUCAGAAAGCCCCGGCUAACUACGUG